rnacentral:misc_RNA from 1 species
CAGAAUUGUCAAACGGGUUGUUGCUGGCCCUCAAUGGGGGCAUGUGCACGCUCUGUUUACACAUCCACUCACACCUGUGCACUCUCAGUAGUUCUGUGGUCUGGGGGACCCCCCUCUUCCGUCCGCGGUUCUACGUCUUACACACACACUGUAACACGGUUUUAUGGAAUGUACGCAGCGUUUAACGCAAUACAAUA